ensembl:lncRNA
AUGCAAAAUUCUAACUAUGCAGCUUUGUCACUUCAGGAAGAGAAAAAGAGGGAGGAGGAAGAGGCAGAGAAAGGAGCAAGAGGAGCAACAGAAGGAAGAGAGUACGCAAGAGGACGUGAUCUCUUUGGACUUCAUAUUACUGGUCUGUUAAAGGAAGGGAGGGGACCUUGCAAAGGCAUGAACACCAAGAGGCGGGGUUACGGGGCCUUCGAGUCUGUCACAGUCAGCUCAAAUCCAGAAGAGAACUACAGAGGAGCUGGGAUCAGCUCUGUGCUUGGCACGAAGCACCAGAAGCCGCUCUCACAGGUCCUCGUACAAGAUUCCUAUGUUGGCCUGUUUAUGUUUUUUCAUUUGCUCAGAGGGAGUGGAACAUUGGCCGACUGUAGGAACCGGGCAGCUAUCUGUGAGUCCUGAAAGAGAGAAACAGGGGUAACAAAAUCAAGCCUUCAACGAGCAAAGCCAAUUUCAACCACUGAAGGUAAUUUCAUAUCACCCAAAAAGGAAGAAAUAGGAUUUGAUAAAUACUCCCCAAAUACUGCUGCAGUUAUAUAAAGCCUCAGAGUGAAGCUAAUUCAAACUCAUUUCCUCACCCGCUCGUCAUGCACAUUCUUUUUGGUUUUCAUACUCUUGACUGCUGUGUUUGCCUAGAGAGGUUGGCAUCACGCUGUAGGGUCAUGUUUCACAACUGGUGCUCACUGAUGAGGUUCUGCACAUAGUGGCUUUGGUCAUAAGCCAAAGGUAAGAUUUUGUUUGUGCACCCCAUAAGAUGAAACACUUUUCCAGACAGCAUUGCUUAAAAGAGGUUACACGGACUUUCCUGGAUGGCCCUGCCUAACAUCUUGUGUCUUAAAAUUCCAGAGCUGAGCUGUAGCUGGUGCCACUGAGCCUCUAGCCGAAAUUCAUUUUCUAAAAACCAUGGCCAGAGUCUUCCUAGAGUCAAAGCGGAAAAUUCAUUGCUGAGCAUAUUCAUAAAAAUUCUUUGGGUUGUAAAUGAUAGAAAUUCAACUUCAGCUAGUUAGAGCAAAAGGUUGGGGCUAUUGUCUCAGGAUCCAGGAAAGACGGAGACAAAUGAGGACCUUUGAGAUAGCAGAAACCCAACUGGUUUCCCAGACUAUUGAAACUAAUAAUGCAAAUGGCAUCCCACCUACCCCUCCCCUGUACCCCUCAUCUCUCAGAUUAAGUUUUCUUCUCUCUCACUAAAGACAGCUCUCUUUCUCAUAAUGGGAAACAUGGGUACCCAGAUCUCUUAGGUACUUUUUAUAGCUCCUAGCACAAAUAAGGACUGGCACUCUCAGUUCUAGUCAAACUCUGCAAAAUAUGAUCCUGGCUCACUCAGGUCAGAUGCUCACUUGCAGGGGUGAGGUCACGUGAGAACAAAGCAGAUCUUACAAUAGCCAUAGACAUAGGGGUGCAGAGCAGAAAAGAUCACAGUUGUUCAGUUCAUAGAGCAUCAGUAGUAAAUGUAUUCGGAUAAAAUAAGGGUAAUCUGGCUUUCCGUGAACUUUCUUGUCUCUACUUUUUGACCAUCACAAAAUAUUUUAGUUCAACCCAAGAAAAACCCAGUAGAUCUAGAAAAGCUGUAGAGAAGGGCGCCUGGGUGGCUCAGUCAGUUGAGCCUCCGACUUCGGCUCAGGUCGUGAUCUCACGGUCCGUGAGUUCGAGCCCCACGUCGGGCUCUGUGCUGACAGCUCAGAGCCUGGAGCCUGUUUCAGAUUCUGUGUCUCCCUCUCUCUGACCCUCCCCCAUUCAUGCUCUGUCUCUCUCUGUCUCAAAAAUAAAUAAACGUUAAAAAAAAUUAAAAAAAAAAAA